CCUCGGGCUGCACUGCUGCUGUCGCUGAACGGGAAGGACAGUUAGAGGUCGCCCAGCUUCAUCCCCACCCUGCACAGCCCGGGGGACGACACCCAGAGAGGGCAAGCUGAUUGCCCCACAUACCAAGUCAGAACUCAGAAAAAAAUACUAUCCUUGUAUCUUAGAAGAGGCAAGACAAGAG
rnacentral:lncRNA from 1 species